rnacentral:rRNA from 1 species
GCUCCUACGGGGGGCAGCAGUGGGGGAUAUUGGACAAUGGGGGGAACCCUGAUCCAGCGACGCCGCGUGAGUGAAGAAGUAUUUCGGUAUGUAAAGCUCUGUCAGCAGGGAAGAAAGCAAUGACGGUACCUGACCAAGAAGCCCCGGCUAACUACGUGCCAGCAGCCGCGGUAAUACGUAGGGAGCGAGCGUUAUCCGGAUUUAUUGGGUGUAAAGGGUGCGUAGACGGGAAAAUAAGUUAGUUGUGAAAUCCCUCGGCUCAACUGAGGAACUGCAACUAAAACUAUUUUUCUUGAGUGCAGGAG